UACGGAGGGGACUAGCGUUGUUCGGAAUUACUGGGCGUAAAGCGUGCGCAGGCGGUGAUGUAAGACAGGUGUGAAAUCCCCGGGCUUAACCUGGGAACUGCAUUUGUGACUGCAUCGCUGGAGUGCGGCAGAGGGGGAUGGAAUUCCGCGUGUAGCAGUGAAAUGCGUAGAUAUGCGGAGGAACACCGAUGGCGAAGGCAAUCCCCUGGGCCUGCACUGACGCUCAUGCACGAAAGCGUGGGGAGCAAACAGG
rnacentral:rRNA from 1 species